rnacentral:tRNA from 1 species
GAUGGCGUUGGUGGAGGAGAUGGCAUUGGUGUUUGUCGAAUUUCAUCACUGGAGUCAAAUUCAGGCAUUUCUGGUUCGGGUUCAGGAGUCAUGG